AAGUAGGGGAUCGCAAGACCUUGCGCUUUUGGAGCGGCCGAUGCCUGAUUAGCUAGUUGGUGGGGUAAGGGCCUACCAAGGCGACGAUCAGUAGUUGGUCUGAGAGGACGACCAGCCACACUGGGACUGAGACACGGCCCAGACUCCUACGGGAGGCAGCAGUGGGGAAUUUUGGACAAUGGGCGAAAGCCUGAUCCAGCAAUGCCGCGUGAGUGAAGAAGGCCUUCGGGUUGUAAAGCUCUUUCAGUCGAGAAGAAAAGGUCGCGACUAAUAAUCGCGACUCAUGACGGUAUCGACAGAAGAAGCACCGGCUAACUACGUGCCAGCAGCCGCGGUAAUACGUAGGGUGCGAGCGUUAAUCGGAAUUACUGGGCGUAAAGGGUGCGCAGGCGGCUUUGUAAGUCAGAUGUGAAAUCCCCGGGCUUAACCUGGGAAUUGCGUUUGAAACUACAAGGCUAGAGU
rnacentral:rRNA from 1 species